AGGUUUCCCCAGCUCUGACAUGCCGCAAGGGCUGCCCAGAUUGCGUCAGGCGGCGGGCACCCGCCGGCUCCUAGUCCCGGCACCCCGCCUGGAACUGUCACCUUCGGGAGCGACGAGCGCGUUCCGGGCAGACGUCUCCCCAGCGGCCCAGCCGGCCAAGUUCACGGCCUCCGGGCGACACCGAACAGGGCACGCCCAGGCGCUCUGGGCGGUGACAGCGUCUCUGGGACCGCUGGGGCCCGCGCUGCCGAGAGCUGGUGGCGGUGCCCUCCCUCCGCGUUCCACGCAGGUGCCUCACGCCGUUGGCUGGCCCGCGUGAGCACAUGGAGAAACUGAGUCACUGGCAGCGCAGAGUUCUGCAGAGGUUGCAAGGCUGAGUCAGGCCGGGGACAGGAGCUCGCGGAACUCACGUGAGAGCGGCGCCAAGUGCAGGGGUCCUGAUGAAGUUGGACUUCAGAGGCUUCUGGUCAUCUUCCCCUAACAUUUCUCCCCCACUGGGGGUAUGGACCAAAUUUUUCUUUGGGGGAGGGGUGCAGAAGGUGGGAGUUCUGGCUUCUAUAAUUGCUUCUCUGCUUGACAUGGAUGUUGGCAGGUG